UAACACCUGGAAACAAGAUGCUAAUACCGGAUAACAACAGAUGAUGCCUAUCAACUGUUUAAAAGAUGGUUCUGCUAUCACUCUUGGAUGGACCUGCGGUGCAUUAGCUAGUUGGUAGGGUAACGGCCUACCAAGGCGAUGAUGCAUAGCCGAGUUGAGAGACUGAUCGGCCACAUUGGGACUGAGACACGGCCCAAACUCCUACGGGAGGCAGCAGUC
rnacentral:rRNA from 1 species